UAAGGAAUCUUCCACAAUGGGCGAAAGCCUGAUGGAGCAACGCCGCGUGCAGGAUGAAGGCCCUCGGGUCGUAAACUGCUUUUAUAGGUGAAUAAUAUGAAUGUAACCUAUGAAUAAGCACCGGCUAACUACGUGCCAGCAGCCGCGGUCAUACGUAGGGUGCAAGCAUUAUCCGGAGUGACUGGGCGUAAAGAGUUGCGUAGGUGGUUUGUUAAGUGAAUAGUGAAAUCUGAUGGCUCAACCAUUAGACUAUUAUUCAAACUGGUAAACUCGAGAAUAGCAGAGGUAACUGGAAUUUCUAGUGUAGGAGUGAAAUCCGUAGAUAUUAGAAGGAACACCAAUGGCGUAGGCAGGUUACUGGGCUAUUUCUGACACUGAGGCACGAAAGCGUGGGGAGCGAACCGG
rnacentral:rRNA from 1 species